AGAAUUUAAGGGUUAAACACUAACUGGUCUUUCAAUCUAAAAAAGGUGAGUAAUUUAAGAACUAAAAACUGAAAGAGUGAGGUUUUGCUUUGACUACUAAAAAAUCAGAAUUAGUGUUGGUUUUUUUGUUGAAUUGAAGUUAUGAGUUUCUUUCCUUAAGAGUCUGAAAGAGAGAGUCAGAAAUCGAUUGUCCUAUUGCAUUUCUGGUUCACUUUGUUUCUGCCCGUUGAUUGUUGUUGGUGUUUCUAGGCUUUCAUUUGGUUUGUUCCUUGAGUUUGGUUGGUUAUUUGUUAUUGUUUCAUUGGGGUGUUGCUGGAAUUCUGCUAGUUUUAUUAAACACUGUUACUGGGCUGUUCUAUUUCCGUUACUGUUGUUGUUGCUACUGCUCCUGCUGAUCCUUUUCUUCCUUUUCCUUGUGGUCCCUUUCCAGGUACACAUUUCUGAGAUUAGUUCUGAUGUGACUUCAAACUGCAAAAAUGCUGAAUUAAAAUGCUUAACAGAUUGCCUAUUAAAGUGUGUUCAAUUAAUGUAUUAGAAUGUACAUUAGGAAAUAUUGUAUAUGUUUAUGCUCGUCUUAGAUAUGUAUUUACAUUGUACAACUAUACUAAAAAUUGGACUGUACCUAGAACUAUUCUAAGUAGUUUGAACUAUUUUCUAUAUGCCUAUGGGUACAUGAAUUGAUAGAUAGUCAUUACUGGAAAUUAUUUGAUUUAGUUUAAUUAGUGAAGUAUAAUUCUGAAUUCAUGCAAACUGGAAUAGAAAUGAGUCAAAGCUUGUGAAUUUUAAAUCAUGUUAGUAAUGGAGAUCUGUAAAUAUUAGGCAGAAUCAAAAAUGGCCAGUAAUUUCGUAGAAUCAGUAGGCCCACUAUAUUUUAAGUUAGGAUCGUAGUAGUAAUUGCUAAGAUCAUUAAUCCAAUAGGCAUGAGUUGAGUUCAAACAAGACGAGUUAACGAUUAAGUUUAACAAACUUUCGAAUAAACAUUAGUGAUUAAGGUUAAUUCUAGUUUCAAAUAGUUGUAAACAAUUAAUUCCAACGAUUCAAUUCAUCUAACAAUGUGGGUUUAAAUUAGUUAGAGGAUAAUUAGUUUAUUUUGGUAAUAUUAUUUGUAAAUUCUGUAUUCUAUUUAUAAUUUCAAUUUUAGUAAUAUUCAAUUAUAGAAUAAGACAUGAAACAAUCUCCCUUUGUCUCGAUUGCAAUUUUCAGUUUGCAUUUGUCUUAAUCCGAUAAAUAUGUAGCGGCCUUUUCAAGCAUGUAACUAACUAGGAUUUUUCUCUUUUUUAGAGACUAACUUAAAUAGAAAAAAUGUAGUCACUUUAGGAUUAUCCUUUUAAAAUAAACGAGAUGAGCCUCACCAAAUAAAACGCACGAGCUGCGGGGCCCUCAAUAAUUGGUUAAUAAUGUAUAGACUUCGGGAUCGGCCACUUACUGAAUUUCACGGCUUUUUCCCAAAAAUAACAAUGUGUUAGUCUCUUUAGGCGCAUAUUUUAAUAAUGUUAUCUCCCUAAAUUCGGGUGCACAUUUAUGUGGCCCAAAUCCAAAUCUCAACGUCGUCGAAACGUGUCAAUAACCACGGGUGCAUUGAUGUGACGUGGUUCGAGACCCGUUUUCACGACGUUGUAAGUUUUUUUUUAAAAAUAAAUAAAUAAUAAAAGCGAUUCAAAGUUAAAAUUGGCACAUAAGUUCAUAAUUGUUAAAAUGAGAUAAUUAAGCUAAAUACGACAGUUGAGCGACCGUGCUAGAACCACGGAUUUCGGGAAUGCCUAACACCUUCUCCCGGGUUAACAGAAUUCAUUAUCCGGAUUUCUGGUUCGCGGAUUGUAAUACAGAGUCAUUCUUUUCCUCUAUUCGGGAUUAAAACCGGUGACUUGGGACACCAUAAAUCUCCCAAGUGGCGACUCUGAUUCUUAAAUAAUAAAUCCCGUUUCGAUUGUCCUUCAAUUGGAAAAACUCCACUUACCCCUUACGCCCCUGCGGGCGCAGGUAAAAUGGAGGUGUGACAAGAAGUAUCGCAGAUGCGGCUCCUGGGUUGUUUAAUGAAAGUCACAGAUACUACAAGUGAUCUGCAGAAGCGGGACCGCAGAUGCGGUCCUAUAGCCGCAAAUGCGAGAAUGUCUGGGCACAACAUAUAAAUAGUUGCCUUUGCGAAAAUUGGCUAUUCUUCCACCAUUUUUGUCCGGGUUUGAAGCUUCUAAGAGGGGUUUUUGAGGAAAUCAAAGUAAAAUCACUUGGAGGUAAUGUCCUCGACUUCAUAACGCAUUUCUAUGUGAUUAAAGACCUAAUUAAUGGUGAAAAUUUUGGGAAAGAUGGUUAAUUAGGGUUUGAGUUUAAGAGACCUUUAAUUGAGGAUUUGAGGGGUCAUUUGGACUCCGAUUUUGGUGUUCUUGUUAUGUAUAGACUCGUGAGAGUAUGAGGUUUCUGAAAAUAUAAAUUUCACCCGAUUCUGAGACGUUGGCUUGAGGGGCAUUUUGGUCAUUUUACAUGAUUUCGCGUAUUAACUUAGAAUUUAAUUGUAGAAUCAGUUACUUGAAGUGUUAUUUACAAUAUGCAAUUAAAUUGAAUAGAUUUGGGCCACUUGAAGUCGGAUACUCGUGAAAAAAGUGUGGUUUCAAGUUGAUUUUGAGCCGGUUCGAGGUAAGUGGCUUGUCUAACCUUGUGUAGGGGACCUUCCCCUUAAGAUUGGUAUACUUGGUAAUUGAAAUGCCUUGUACGUGAGGUGACGAGUGUGUACUUGAGCUAAUUAUUGGAAAUUCAGUUUUUCUUAAGUAAUUACUAGUAUGUUUCUGUUCCCGUUUCUAUUUCUUGCACUAUAGAGUCUGUUGUUAGCUUAGGAAAGCAUGUCUAAGUGACUUAAUUUGAUUUAUUUGAUUUAACCUGCCUUACUUGGAUUCUAUGCAGCAUGCUACGCUAGAAUCACUUGUUGCCUUAAUAUGAAAUCUUGCCAUUUCUGUAUAUCUUCCUGUUGUUGUUGUGUAUUUAUUUUGGGACUACGGGUUAGAUUCCCGGUAGAUCUCCCUGCAUAUUUACUUUGGGACUAUGGGUUAGAUUCCCGGUAGAUCCCCCUGCAUAUUUACUUUGGGACUACGAGUUAGAUUUCCGGCAGAUCCCCUUGCACAGUUAUAUGGAACUACGGGAAUGCACCCGGUAGAUUCCCCAGUACUGGGUAUUUACAUUUGGGACUACGGAACGGGAUUUCGGUAGAUCCCCGCACACUAUGAGUUGGACUACGGGACGGUAUCCCGAGAGAUCCGUUGAAUAUAUAUAUAUGAUGGACUACGGGACGGCAUCCCGGGAGAUCCACUGGAUAUGUAAAGAUGGGACUACAGGACGGUAUCCUGGUAGGUCCCCGAUUGUUACUAUCGGUGCUGAGUUGUAUUUCCUUUCCAUGCUUACCUGGUUCUGUAUAGUUGUUGUUGUUCUGUUCACCCUGUGUUAUUUUACUGUUGUACUCAUUAUACUGUUUCGUUCUAUACUGUUAACCUUUACAUUUUAUUU
rnacentral:lncRNA from 1 species